ensembl:lncRNA
CAUACUAAAAGUUUGAACGAAAUUUAUAUUAGCAAUAAAAAAAUAAAAAGUUUAAAAGUAAAUAAUAGGAUUAGCGCAAAUCGUGUAAAGAAUUCGAACACUAACAGUGUUAAUAAAAACAGCGUUUUUUUAAAUUCUAAAAAUGAGAUUGAAAAAAAAAAGAACACUAUUUUAAGCAAUAAUAUUAAUGAACAUAGAAGUAGUUCAAAAAAAAAAAAACAUAGUGAAAUGAAAGUAUUUGGAAAUGUAAAUAAUGAUAUGGACUUAUUAAAAAAUUCAUUACAUGUUACAACAAAUUAUUCUUAUCCAAAUUUAAAAAAUAAGACACAGUUAGUAUCUUCUGAUUAUUGUGGUACCAAAAUAAUACCUACGAAUUUACCAAAAAAUAUAAUUCAAGUGAAAACAAAAAAUAAUGAUCAUUUUUUAAACACUAACAAUGAUAAUGGACAUAUACAUAUCACUCCGAAUACUUAUAUGUGCCCAAAUAGUAAAGACAACUGUAGUAAAGACAACUGUAGUAAAGACAACUCUAGUAAUGGCAAUUGUAGUAAUGGCAAUUGUAGUGAUGACAAUUGUAGUGAUGAUAACUGUAGUAAUGGCAAUUACUGUGAUGAUGGAGAAUCUAAAAAUGUUCCCAUGAUAAUGUUUACCGAUUCAGAGGUAGAACUAAUAAAACAAAAAAAAAAUAAUAACAAACAUAAUACUAAUGUUAAUAGCAUAAUAAGUUAUAAUGAUCAAGCGUUGGGACUAUAUUAUAAUAUAAGAAAUGAUAAUAAUAAAAUUAAAAAUAAUAAUAAUGUUUUAAAACAAAAAUUAAAUUCUAAUACUAUUGCUUAUAGUAAUUAUAGUAGUACUAAUAGUGAUAAUACAACCAGCUAUUGUAGUACCAAUAUUUAUAAUGACAGUGAUACCUGUCGUAAUAAGAGUAAAAAUAAUUUUAAACAAAAUGCACGUAAUAUGCAUAUUAUAAACAAUAAAGUUACAAAUAAUAUGAUAAACACAAACAAAUUAAAUACAAACAAAUUAAACACAAACAAAUUAAACACAAACAAAUUAAACACAAACAAAUUAAACANNNNNNNNNNCACAAACAAAUUAAACACAAACAAAUUAAACACAAACAAAUUAAACAGUAGUAAGGUAAAAAAUGAUAAAAAAAAUCGAAACUUCCUAUCAAUAAAUAAAAAAACUGAAGGUAGAGAUUCAACAGACAUGAAUGUGUAUUGUCCAAUAACUUCUAAAAAUGUUUAUGAUAGUAUAUAUAUACCACAUAUAAGUAUUAACAACAUGAUACAAUCAGAACCUGUAUAUAAUAGCAUUAUAGGUAAUAGAAAUAAUUACAGGAGUAUUUAUAAUAAUACCCCUAGCACUAAUUCAGUUACUAAUGACAUGACACCUAGCAUGAUAAAUGACAUAUUUGAUAAUUCCAACAAUUAUAACAACAAUAACAAUAAUAACAAUAAUAAUAACAACAAUGACAAUAAUAACAAUAAUAACGAUAAUAACAAUAGUGAUGAUAUAACUAGUAAUUUAAUUAAAAAAACAGAGAGUAGAAAUUUAAUAAAUACAUUAAAUGCAUAUUCGAACGUAAAAGUAGCUGUACGUAUUAAACCU